UACUGUAGCCAUAAUAAUUAAUUUUUAAUAAAUUUUAAAUAAUAUAAUAUAUUUAUUUUACAUUGUCUUUUUUUAAAAAAUCAUGAUUUUAAGUCAUUACACAGUGUACAAUUUUUUAUUAUUACUAUUGUUAUAUUUUUUUGUAACAGUAAAUUCGGAAUUAAGUAAUCGUCUUCCAAAUAAUACUAUUCCGCGAUUGUAUAAAAUUGAGUUUAAUCCAAAUUUGUUUAGCGAAAAAUUUUCAUUUACGGGGAGGAGUUCAAUUUAUUUUGAAGUUAUCCAACAUACAAAUUCAUUAAUUUUACAUAAAUCAAAAAAUUUAUUUAUUGAUAAUGAAUAUACUGAAAUAUCUAACGAAGUUGGAAAGAUCUAUAAAGUAGUUCACCAAUCAUGGAAUUCUAAGCGAGAACUUAUCACGAUUAAAUGUAGUGACGCACUAGAAAUUGGAAAUUAUACUCUCAAAUUGCAGUGGAAUGGUUAUGGUAAUGAUAUCAACUUCAGCGGAAUGUAUCGAGCUGUCGAUCAAGAUGAUAAAAAUAACUCCAAGUAUCUCGUGGUAACGAAUUUACGGCCGACAUUUGCUAGAACUGUAUUUCCAUGCUGGGAUGAGCCUGGAUUUAAAGCUAAUUAUGAAAUUUCAAUUAUUCAUCAUAAGAAUUAUACCGCACUCUCCAAUAUGCCGAAAAUAACUAGUGAACUUCUGAGCAAUGACAAGGUUAAAACUUAUUUUGAUAAAUCGAUGCCAAUUUCAUCGUAUCAAGUUUCCAUUGUAGUUGCUGACUAUAAAUUUAUUUCAAACAAAUAUGGAAAUGUUACAUUUUACGCUCCUAAAGGAGAUUUGAAUUUAGUUGAACAUGCUCUAAGUUCAACGGAAUUAAUGUUGCCAAUUCUCGAACGUUACACUGGUAUUCCAUACGUCCUACCGAAAUUGGACUCGGUCACCAUUCCACAAUUUUUGAAACCAUCUAUAGCAGUAGAAAGUUGGGGACUCAUAACUUACAAAUCGCAAAAAGUUAAAUUGAUAAGUAAAAAUUCAACUAUGAUAACUUAUCCUACAAAAAUGACUAUCUUGAAAAAUAUUGCUAAUGAAGUAGUUCAGCAAUGGUUCGGAAAUUUAGUGACUCCAUUUUGGUGGAAUGAUUUAUGGAUAUGCAAGGGAAUUUCAUUGUAUUUGCAGUACAAGUUUAUCAAUGAGCUGUAUCCAGAAUUAGCAGCUAUCGAUUUUGAAACAAUCGAUACUUAUCAAUUUUUAUUUUUAACCGAACCUAUGAUUGGUAAUGUUCUACUGCCAAUGGGAUCCAUGCCUGACAAUACUUUGUCGAUAAAGCAGAAAUUUAGUAUAGUUUACCAUAUGAAAAGUUUCGUAAUUAUUCAAAUGUUAGAACAUAUCGUUACCCAAGAAGUUUUUCAAGCUGGCCUACAACAGUUUCUUAAAAAUAACAAAUUUCGUGGCGUUACAUCAAACGAUUUGUGGAGGAGCCUUCAAGAAGCUUACAACAAAAAAUUUAUUAACAAUUCUCUGAAUAUUAAAAAUAUUAUGGAACCGUGGAUUAAUCAGCGGGGUUUCCCUAUUCUCAAUGUAACAAGAGAUUAUAAUACAGGAUUAGUGACAAUUACUCAGUCUAAUGUAUUGGCGAAUCGCAAAAACAUUACUUGGAGUAUUCCAAUUAAUUAUGCAACGCAAUCAAAUCCUGAUUUUUCAUCAACAGUACCGGUCACUUGGAUCAAACAAAAUAAAAAAUCUAUAACAUUAUCUGGAGUAAAUCCUGAUGACUGGAUAAUUCUUAAUGUCCAACAAAGAGGAUACUACAAAGUUCAUUAUGACGUAGAAAAUUUAAAACGCAUUAUAAAUUACCUGCACUCGGAUAAUUACAACAAAAUACAUCCUAUUAAUCGUGCAAGAAUUAUUGAUGAUGUCUAUGAAUCAUUCACACAUAAUUACGAUUACUAUAAACUGGCAAUCGAUCUUAUUGGAUAUCUCAGCCAUGAAAAAAAUUACGUUGCUUGGUUUUCUGGUGUCGAUCUUAUUAAUCGAAUUAUAAAAGUAACGAGUAUAAGUGGUAAUAAUUUGUUCAAAAAUUACAUAAAUAUCAUUACCAAAAAUAUAAUAGAUGAUAUCGGAAUGACAGAACAUGAAAAUGAUUCAAAAUUAGUUAUACGAUUAAGACGUUCUCUAUUAUCGAUUAUUUGUCGAUUUGAUAAUGAAAAAUGCAAACCUACCGCUUAUUAUUUAUAUAAAUCAUUAAUUAAUGGAACCUCUGAAAUAACAAAUCUAAAACCCAUAUAUCCAUGGGUUUUGUGUAAUGUAUUUCAAGAUUUUAAUUCUACUGAAUGGGAUAAUAUAUUUUCUCAUAAAUUAAUCAAAUUUACAAAUAGUUCAAGUUAUAAUUUUGAGUAUUUACACUGCGUGAAGUCUGAUAAAAUCAUUGAAAAAUAUUUUAAUAAAAUUAUUAGUAAUACGACAAACGAAAAUAUUAACGAUCUAGUUACGAUUUUUGAUAAUAUUAUUCAUGAUCCUCAACAAAACAACACAAACUUUUUAUUGGAUUACUUUAUCAGAAAUUUUAAGGCUCUAGAGAAUAAAUUUUUGUCAAUCGGUAAUAAAAAUGCAAUUCCACAUGUAAUCAAACAGUUCACUGAAUAUCUAGAAGAUCAGAAUCAAUGGGAAAAGUUUAUAAGAUUCAUCCAGUCUCGAGCUCUUGAAUUAAAUAAUAAUUAUCAAGUUUAUAAAAAGAACGUCCUGGAAGUAAUUUCUUCAUACGUGUAUAAAAAAGAUUAUGAGUACGAUUACUUCGAAUCUAUUUAUGACAACAGAUUGGAAACGUUAAAAAUGCAAUACUGAUAAAUAUCUAUUACCUAAUUUAUCAUUAUAUUUUUUUUUAUCAUUUGGGCAAACUACAAUCAAUUUUACACCAAAACUAUUUUCAUUAUAUUAAAAUAAAUCAAAUUAAUAAUAAACAUAAAAAUUUGUGAAUCAAAAAUAAAACUA